GCCAACUUCCGUGGUUUAGGAAGGAAGAAAACGUUGCUAAGCACUGUGAAUGUGCUGCACUUGGCUGCAUUUUGAAAGCAUGUUUAGAAGGGCUUCUUUGUUUCCAAGGAUGGGAAAGAGACUUCAAGACACAAAACAGUUGUUCCAAGAGGACUCAGUGUUUGCAUAGGUAUUGUACAGCUGAUGACACUUUGACUUGACUCAGAGAAGAAUUUGCCCAGUGUAGAGAGUUUCUAAAAGCCUUGGCCUGGCCUCUGACAGCUUGAGAGGCUCUCCUGUUUUCCAGAGAAACACUACUUUUACUCUACAAUGGUCUUUAGAAAAAAGAAAUCUUUAGAACCAAAGAGUCUAACAAAAGCACAGAUCUGUCUGUGCAGCAAGAAAGGCUUCUAAAGCUGUGAAUUUAAAAUGGGGAAAAAAAAAGCAGAGAAGUUUAGCUUACCUACACACAUAUGUCUCUGCUAUCGGUGCUGUGCAUAUAUUAAUGUAUUCUGAGUUAAUAAUUGAGAUAUAUGCAAUCCAUUUAGCAAGAUGAAGUGGAUAUCCAUUAUUAAUUGUUAAAUUAACAAACUGCAAUCAGGCUUAGACCCUGGGGCACAUACCACUUUGUCUGUGAAAGCCACUUAACAGAGCUUUCAGUACAAAUCCAGUAGCAUUUGUGCUCUGUUUAGCACGUA
rnacentral:lncRNA from 1 species